ensembl:lncRNA
AUUUGGUUUAAAAUUUUCAAGGAGCCUCUCUUGCAUAUUUCAGCAGCAUGAAGUUCAUCUACUACCGUAGUUUGGACAGAAUUGAUAAGGCUUGUGAAGUGCUUUGGGUGAAGGCUCAAUAUUCAAAACCCUGCUAUGCAUUGGCCUGGAAUCUAACCCGGACUUCACAGAGUGCGCUUUCAGGUAAGUAUUGUGCUGACUCAGCAAUUUGGUUUAAAAUUCGAAAGGAGCCUCACUUGCAUAUUUCAGCAGCAUGAAGUUCUUCUACUACCGUAGUUUGGAUAGAAUUCAUAAGGCCUGUGAAGUUCUUUGGGUGAAGGCUCAAUAUUCAAAACCCUGCUAUGCAUUGGCCGGGAAUCGGACCCGGGCCUCCCGCGUGGCAGGCGAGAAUUCUACCACUGAAACACCAAUGCCUUUGUUAAAGAACCAAGGAGUUCGGAGAGUACGAUUUACACCUAAGUACUGUGCCGCUUCAGCAAUUUGCGUUAAAAGUCUAAAGGAGAAGGCUCAAUAUACAAAACUCAUUUGUGCACUGGCCGGACAUCGAAC